AACCCCUACGGGAGGCAGCAGUGAGGAAUAUUGGUCAAUGGCCGGAAGGCUGAACCAGCCAAGCCGCGUGAGGGAGGAAGGCGCAGAGCGUCGCAGACCUCUUUUGCCGGGGGACAAAAGGCCGGACGGGUCCGGUUCUGAGGGUACCCGGAGAAAAAGCAUCGGCUAACUCCGUGCCAGCAGCCGCGGUAAUACGGAGGAUGCGAGCGUUAUCCGGAUUCAUUGGGUUUAAAGGGUGCGCAGGCGGCCCUUUAACCCGGCG
rnacentral:rRNA from 1 species